AUCUUUGCUUCAUGGUAUCUCUUGCCCCCCAUCAGAUUGAAUGUUCUCCAGCGGGCCUAACUUUCUCUCUUGAGAUGUAGUACCAGAUAUGUAUUCAUGGAUCUUUGGACCUGUUUUAGAUAUGUCUGUUUUGUUAGCAUUCAUCAUACAUAAACCACGCAUACAUGCAUAAUUUUAACAUUCAGAUAUUCAUGUUGCAUUCUUUGCCAUAUAUAUCUUUGCUUAUCAUCUCCUGCUAGUUGGUAAUAUAUUUCCCCAAGCAGAGGUUUGUG
rnacentral:lncRNA from 1 species